rnacentral:rRNA from 1 species
CCCUUAGAUGUUCUGGGCCGCACGCGCGCUACACUGAUGCAUUCAACGAGUCUAAAACCUGCUCUGAUAGGGGUGGGUAAUCUUUUGAAUGUGCAUCGUGAUUGGGAUAGAUGAUUGCAAUUUUUCAUCUUCAACGAGGAAUGCCUAGUAAACGCAAGUCAUCAGCUUGCAUUGAUUACGUCCCUGCCCUUUGUACACACCGCCCGUCGCUCCUACCGAUCGAAUGAUCCGAUGAAUAUCAUGGAUUGAGGAUGCAAGCAGGUUCGCCUGUCUUCAUCUUCGAGAAGUGAAGUAAAUCUUAUCAUUUAGAGGAAGGAGAAGUCGUAACA